GAUGCCAGACCUGCCGCACCACAGCUGUAGCUGCUCUGCUGCACCUGUGACGUUGGGGCAAAGAGGAAGCGGCUAUUUCUACGCUCAGUGUCCAGAACAGUGGGCGCUAAGAAUGGUUUGUAGCCGGACAUCG
ensembl:snoRNA